AAAAUGCAGCAAGAAGCUCCAAGAAUGCGGGUUAGCCAUCAUCAUCAAACCACCUCAUACGAAAACAAAAGUAAUGGAUGUCAACAAGCAUGGUUUCUUCAUGAAAAAUCGUUGAAACCUUUCAGUUAAUGCAUGCUUAUGGGGGUUGCAGAACCAUAAAAGUUGAGAAAUACUGGUUUAGAGAAUGAUUAAGACUGGAUAGAACUCUGGAGAUCUACCACUGGAAUCUAUAUGUCUCUUAAAUAUUGGAAUUCUGCACAAACGAUAAUUUACAACCUCGGAAAUAUAAUAGUUACCCUUGAUAAUUAGGUUUGUGAGUGAACUGGUUGUUGCAUGUCUCUUGUAGCUCAAUGAAUUCUGUUUGCUUUGCUGAAAGAGUUUAAUUCUUAUGCUGAGUUUUAUUGCUGGAGAUGGCACAAAUGUUUUACUAAUUUCUGCUUUCGCAUAAAAGAAUGUACAUGCCUACUAAUAAAUUGUUGUUUGCAUGUU